rnacentral:rRNA from 1 species
AUUGAACGCUGGCGGCAGGCCUAACACAUGCAAGCCGAGCGGAUGAAGGGAGCUUGCUCCUGGAUUCAGCGGCGGACGGGUGAGUAAUGCCUAGGAAUCUGCCUGGUAGUGGGGGAUAACGUCCGGAAACGGGCGCUAAUACCGCAUACGUCCUGAGGGAGAAAGUGGGGGAUCUUCGGACCUCACGCUAUCAGAUGAGCCUAGGUCGGAUUAGCUAGUUGGUGGGGUAAAGGCCUACCAAGGCGACGAUCCGUAACUGGCCUGAGAGGAUGAUCAGUCACACUGGAACUGAGACACGGUCCAGACUCCUACGGGAGGCAGCAGUGGGGAAUAUUGGACAAUGGGCGAAAGCCUGAUCCAGCCAUGCCGCGUGUGUGAAGAAGGUCUUCGGAUUGUAAAGCACUUUAAGUUGGGAGGAAGGGCAGUAAGUUAAUACCUUGCUGUUUUGACGUUACCAACAGAAUAAGCACCGGCUAACUUCGUG